rnacentral:rRNA from 1 species
GAGUUUGAUCCUGGCUCAGAACGAACGCUGGCGGCGUGCCUAACACAUGCAAGUCGAACGUGAUCCAGAGCUUGCUCUGGUGAAAGUGGCGCACGGGUGAGUAACGCGUGGAUAACCUACCCUGGUAUCCGGGAUAACAUUCCGAAAGGGGUGCUAAUGCCGGAUAAGCCCACGGGCUCUUUGGAGCUUGCGGGAAAAGGUGGCCUCUAUUUAUAAGCUACUGUAUCAGGAUGGGUCCGCGUACCAUUAGCUAGUUGGCGGUGUAACGGACCACCAAGGCGACGAUGGUUAGCUGGUCUGAGAGGAUGAUCAGCCACACUGGAACUGAGACACGGUCCAGACUCCUACGGGAGGCAGCAGUGGGGAAUUUUGCGCAAUGGGGGAAACCCUGACGCAGCAACGCCGCGUGAGUGAUGAAGGCCUUUGGGUCGUAAAGCUCUGUCAGAGGGGAAGAAAUGAUAUAGUGCUAAUACCACUUCAUCUUGACGGUACCCUCAAAGGAAGCACCGGCUAACUCCGUGCCAGCAGCCGCGGUAAUAC